rnacentral:lncRNA from 10 species
CUGUGGGAACCAGGGGUUAUCUCACCCCCUUGUUACUACAAAGUGUGCCUCACCAUGGCCUCUGAUUGUUCUGAGUCCAACCCCAGUGUGGCCCUACAUGGUAUGGGAUGUUCUUCUCCUCUGGGCUACAUGCAUUAGAUUCAUACUACAUAAAACUACUACGCCUUAAAAGGGAGCGUUACAGAGGCAUACGGGAGAGAGUUCGUGCCUUCAGAGGAGCUUAGAAUACAAGUGUGUACUAGUCUCAAGUCUU